AUCGCUUCUCGGCCUCUUGGCUAAUAUCAAAGUGUAGUAUCUGUUCUUAUCAGCUUAAUAUCUGAUACGCGCCUCAUCGAGGUGCCAGUAUAUUAAACUGAUUUUUGGAAAAUGACGGAGUGCUAGGGGCUUGCUCCACCUCUGUCGCGAGUGUCGCGGGUUGACCCGGUAUUGCAGUACCUCCGGGACCGGCCCACCUAAU
rfam:Asian citrus Psyllid, Diaphorina citri - Florida Strain, whole genome shotgun sequence.